CUGGCGGAGGCUAACACAUGCAGUCGAGCGGUAACAGAGAGAAGCUGCUUCUCUGCUGACGAGCGGCGGACGGGUGAGUAACGCGUAGGAAUCUACCUAUUAGUGGGGGAUAAGCCAGAGAAAUUUGGUCUAAUACCGCAUACGCCCUACGGGGGAAAGGAGGGGAUCUUCGGACCUUUCGCUAUUAGAUGAGCCUGCGUAAGAUUAGCUAGUUGGUGAGGUAAUGGCUCACCAAGGCGACGAUCUUUAGCUGGUCUGAGAGGAUGAUCAGCCACACUGGGACUGAGACACGGCCCAGACUCCUACGGGAGGCAGCAGUGGGGAAUAUUGGACAAUGGGGGGAACCCUGAUCCAGCCAUGCCGCGUGUGUGAAGAAGGCCUUCGGGUUGUAAAGCACUUUCAGAUGUGAGGAAAGGUAAGUAGUUAAUACCUGCUUACUGUGACGUUAGCAUCAGAAGAAGGACCGGCUAACUCCGUGCCAGCAGCCGCGGUAAUACGGAGGGUCCGAGGCGUAAUCGGAAUUACUGGGCGUAAAGCGCGCGUAGGUGGUUCGUCAGUCAGAUGUGAAAGCCCAGGCUCCAUCUUGGAAACUGAACUUGAAUACUGGGAGAAUAGCACUCACUAGAGGGGAGUGGAAUUCCGGCGUACCGGUGAAAUGGUAAAAUACGGAGGACACCAUGGGGACGCGAUCCCGGAUGA
rnacentral:rRNA from 1 species